GUUUGUGGGGCAUAGUGGUUUGAGUGUUGGACUGCAACGCUGAGGACCAGGGUUCAAUUCCCAGCUUGGCCA